rnacentral:rRNA from 1 species
GAUGAACGCUGGCGGCGUGCCUAAUACAUGCAAGUCGAGCGAACGGACGAGAAGCUUGCUUCUCUGAUGUUAGCGGCGGACGGGUGAGUAACACGUGGAUAACCUACCUAUAAGACUGGGAUAACUUCGGGAAACCGGAGCUAAUACCGGAUAAUAUUUUGAACCGCAUGGUUCAAAAGUGAAAGACGGUCUUGCUGUCACUUAUAGAUAGAUCCGCGCUGCAUUAGCUAGUUGGUAAGGUAACGGCUUACCAAGGCAACGAUGCAUAGCCGACCUGAGAGGGUGGUCGGCCACACUGGAACUGAGACACGGUCCAGACUCCUACGGGAGGCAGCAGUAGGGAAUCUUCCGCAAUGGGCGAAAGCCUGACGGAGCAACGCCGCGUGAGUGAUGAAGGUCUUCGGAUCGUAAAACUCUGUUAUUAGGGAAGAACAUAUGUGUAAGUAACUGUGCACAUCUUGACGGUACCUAAUCAGAAAGCCACGGCUAACUACGUG